CGUUCGAAGAUUUGUCAUUUUCAUUCAUUUCAUCAUCAUCAUCAUCAUUUCAGCCACAGGACGUCCACAACUGAACAUAGGCCUCCCCCAAUGACUUCCACAUCGCACGGUUGGUAGCGGCCUGCAUCCAGCGCCUUCCCGCUACCUUUAUCAGGUCGUCGGUCCACCUUGUGGUGGGUUGACAUUGCAGAAUAUGACUUUUGAUAGGUUCAUCAUAGAAUUCGGCGGGGAUAUCCUCACGGAGGAAGUUCGAAAAAGGGCGGAACAAGAUCUUAUAAUAAUGCAAGGCCGAAGCUGUAACGCGAGUGCUCCUACGUGUAAUCCGGCGAGUAUGCAAUAAAUAGUAAUGUCUGGUAAAUAGCGGUAAUACGUAUCGUUCGUUCGUUCGUUUCAGCCGAAAAGACGUCCACUGCUGGACAAAGGCCUCCCCCAAGGAUUUCCACGAAGACCGAUCCUGCACCGCUCGCAUACAGGCACCUCCCGCGACCUUGACCAGAUCGUCGGUCCACCUAGUGGGAGGCCUGCCCACGCUACGUCUUUCGGCUCGUGGUCGCCACUCAAGAACUUUCCUGCCCCAGCGGCCAUCAGCUCUACGAGCUAUGUGCCCCGCCCCGUCUAUGUCUAUAUGCGCUACGAUUACAGGGUAUCAUUUUGCAUAGUCGCAAGACUUCACUCCGCUGCUGUCAAAUCAAUGUCGCAUAAUGUUAUCGCAAUGUGUGUGGCCCUUGGCCAAAUCACAGAAGCCUAUGCGAAGAAAGAGCACUUGAAUGACAAUGAAAAUCAGGGUUACCAUUUUAUAAGAUCUCCUCACUAUUGAGGGUAACAAAGUAACAUUAAUAAUCUAGCCAUUAAUUACAUUUAUUACCUAUACGAGAAACUAAAGCAACAUGCGGUUUUAUUUUAAUUUGUAAAAUAUUUGUAACAGUUUGUUCUAAGUUUAGUUUUACAACAGUAUUGCUGUUUCAGCUGUCACUGUGAAGCUUUGGGAUAACAAAUAAAUAGAAAAAAUAUUAACAUAAAUAUUUAUUUAAGUUUUUAUGUUCAUUAUCAUAAUAUGCCAAUUUAAGUUACACUGUGUGACAGUCUUUGACACUAAACAAACUCUUCAGCUUAAUAAUACCUACCUACAGGGCGUUUUUAUAGUUACUCUUGCUGAUGAAACAAGAAGGGUUGAUUCUACUACUGAAAUACAACUACUUUUCUUACAGGACCAAUAUCAAAUUCUCAAAAAAAUUCACAUUCUCGUGAUGGUGAUAAUUUCUAUGGAGAGGUUUUUUUUAUAUUCGGUCUCUUGGGAUAAGUUAUUCCAUUUGAGCAGUAGAAUUAAUCCUUUUUAUUUGAUCACAUAUAAAAAUAACACAAGUGUUUAGGAAAACUUCUUCUUUGGUAUGGUAUCACUACGAAGUUAUAAUGGCGGCAACUCUGUAUCACUGACUUGUAACUUUCAAACAGUAUGAAUAAUAAGAGCACCACAUUGGUUUUCUUUCUGAAAAAAGGCUUUCACUUUUAGUACUAACCCUUUAGCACUAUUUAAUUGAAAUAAAAAUACAAUAAACGCACAGAAGACUGAAAUUGAGUCAACUGACGUGACAUUUAUAAUUUGUUGACAUUAUGACAGUUUGACAAGACUAGGGAUUGAAAAAGUUUUAAUUGAAAAAGUAAAAUGACAAUUUAUUAAAACGAUUCACAAGGAUAUAAUCGAUUAAAAAUAUUUAUAAAAUGUUCUGAUACUUGCCUGUAGCGAUUAUCCAAUCCUGGUUUCUACUGAAAAACUACCUCGUGGCAAUUUUAAUAAAAUAAUAAAAUCUUUAUCUUCUCUUUCACAAUCUAUAAAAGUUCAUUUGGUCUAUUUAUAUUCUUAUACAUGCGCUAUGAAUGAGGGUUUUCGCGAUUGAAAAAUCCGCGAGAUGGCAAUACGUAUACGCGAGGUCCAAAUGCUGCAUGAUUGGUGGAUUUUGACAUAUCUGUCAAUGUCAUGUCAAAAAUAACCAAUCAUGCAGCAUUUGGACCUCACGUCUACGUAUUGCCAUCUGGCGGAUUUUUCAAUCGCGAAAACCCUCAUUGGCAUAGAUUAUGAGAGACUGGCAACUAUACUAGGUUGAUAUAUGUUUCUCUCACUUCAACUGGCAUUGGAUUCAACAUCGGAUUCUGACACUUUUACAGUUAUGAUACCAUGAAUAUCAGUUUAUGGUCCUAAUUAUUUUCAUUUUAUUUACGACCUUCGACCAGUUGGACACUUUAGAUAGCUUCUUGUAAUAGUGUCAAUAUCUUUUUAGCUUUUAACGCAAAUCUAGUCUUCUAAUCGACUUAUUUUAUUUUCAAAAUCGAUAUUUUAUUGUCUAUGAUGGCCGCAGGAACAUCACUAUACAUGGACUCCCAGCAAUAAAGUACGGUAAUGCCUAGUAUAGCCUGACCAGGAACAUAAAAACCCUCGCCAUGUUGCGGAAAACUAAUGGUACUAAUUUCUUUUAAUGGCAACAGUAACUGAAAACUUCAUUGACAUGUCACCUUGCAUGUCAGUCUAUUGCUGUCAAAGUGUAAACAAACUUUAUUUUAAAUGUGCGCAAUUGGUUUUAUGAAUUAAAUUGCUAAAAUAUUUUUAUAGUCGUGAAAGAAAAGUGGUUCACAAUGUGUUAAAGUAUUUGUCGAAGAGAAAUACUAAGGGUUCGGACAAUAUUUUCAUUGAAUAAUGUUUCCGACAAAGGUUGUCAAAUUGACUGACAUGUUUAUCGUAUAGUACAGUCCACUAUGAAAAUUAGAUGUGGUUUGUUUCAACUACCUAUUUUAAAAAUUUUGUCACUUUCUAAGUGUUGAAUUUUAUGGGAUUGGGAAAGAAGUACCGAGUUUGAAGCGUUCAUGAGCAGACAUUGCAGUUGAAUAUUCAAGUUCUGAAUUUGAUUAUUGAUGAAUAAUAAAAUAAAUCUACUAGCUCGAUUGAUGGUUUUAUUUAAUUUAUUUAAAUCAGGUUACCUAUAAUAAUAUUUUUUCGUUAAUUUAUGAAAAUAUCAAAUUAGCCCGUAAUCCUGAAUCCUGAUACAUAAAGUGAGCCUAUUAAUUUAACACAGGUACGACUGUACUCAGUGUUGCACUAUCAAAUGCAAUUGACGCGCCUCUAUGCCAGGGUUUUUAUGUUCCUGGUCAGGCUAUACAGAUUUUAUCGGCAAAAAUAAUGGAACUUGAUAGGUUUUAGACCAUGCCACGCACCAAAACGUCCGGAAGUUGUAAUAGUAUUAUAGAAUAAACGUUAAAAGACUUAUUUAUUUAAUUUUUCAAUGCUUAAGUGUCCAUUAGAAUGAAAGGGUGCUUAAUGUAUUUAAAAAAAUAGAAAAUAAUUAUGAUGGGUUAAUGUUUUUGGGCGGUUUUUUAGGCGGUUUCUGACAAUGUCCUUUAUGAGUAUUUCAUGAUAAUGUACAGAUAUUCGUAUUCGCCGAAUAGUAUAUUUAAUAUUCAUAUUCGUAAAAGUAGUAUACGUUGCAUCACUAAAAUAAAUAUACCUACGUCAGAUUUUGAUGCAAAAAUAAUUUUAUGUAAAAAGUAAUUAGAAUGUUACUACAAUUACGUGUUCUUUCGUGUAACCAAUUUAACUAAAUUACAUUGAAUCGUAGGUAUAUUACGAGUAAAUAUACAGGGUGGCCAGGGAGUUGACGUUCAAAGCUAAAAUUUAGAAUCCUUACAUCGAGGUGUUCUAAAUCACGAGUAUGUUCUUAUGUAGGUAUGUAUGAGUAAUUAAGUACCUUGAUGUAAGGAAUCUAAAUUUUAGCUUUGAACGUCAACUCCCUGGCCACCCUGUAUUAUGUUGCGUUGACUUAUCAUGUUUGUUAACAGUAAGUUGUUUUUAUUUCAAACUACAAUCGAUGCAUUAAGCAAAUCACUGGCUUUCAAACAUUUUUAUUGUGAAUGAAAAUGGAACUUUAAUGGAAAAUAAAUAGAUUAAAUAGUAUCGCAAUAGUUUAAUUGGUGCCUUUCAAUUCACAUUACAUAUAUAUUUUUUAUUCUUAGUAUGUAACAAGCCUUUUUUUUUCGACUGGAAAAUGCAUAAAACUGUAUACUCACUAGCCCAGGGGGGCACAAUAAGUUACUUUAAUUAAAAUAUUCAAUAUAUGAUACACACAUAACCAUAUGGGUGUAGGUAUUAAUAUUGGCAUUACCUAAACGAUGACACCGAGUGUAUUUACCUAUCUAUGCUCGAACUCAUAGCACUAAUGUUUUGCAUCCCGAAGGAUUCGAAGCUGCUGUAUCUACCGAGCCACUUGGUGUAAUCAACUGCAUUGGAUUUGUACUACUUCUUAACUACCUAAAAGGUUUAUGUGUAGAAAAUAAAAUGAAAAUGAUACUUAAAAGUAGGUACACAUUUAUUGUUAUAUUAUUAUAAUACAUAAAUAUUUAUUAAAAAUAAAACUUAUGCAUACUCUUCUUAACAAUAUUCUAAAUGCAACUCAUUUUAUAACGACAAUAUAUCAUAUAAAAGUAUAAAAUAUAAAAAUUCAUCUACACACUAUAAAGAUAAAUGCAUAGCUGAAAUGUUUUCCUAAUAUCAUGAGCGAAAAGCACGAAAAACUUUUGACUUCGAAUCGUUUGCGUAUUCGAAUCGCCAUCAAGAUUCCUAGUAUGAAAAAGUGAAGUUGGUAUGAAAAAAAUGGUAGCACGAAACUAAUUUUUGCAAUCGAGAUCGUCACGUUAUCGUUUAUCGAAGGCUGGGUAUCGAAUUUUGUCGAAUACGCAAACGAUUCUAUCAGAUGAAAGUUGUUUGUACUAGAGUUACUGUGCUCUUAAACAAUGUAAAAUCAGAUUUUAUGGUUUCGAAUUCGAUGGUUGUUUAAGUUCACGCGAAUGAGCAGAC